GUUAGUGUGACUCUAUUAGUCGAUAUGGCAUGUUGUUCUGCUGCGGGCGAAGGUCUUUUAGGCCUGUUAUCUUUUUGUUAUACCUUUUUUUGGAAGGGAUGCAUAAGUAAAGGGCAAAUUAUAAGUGCAAAUUCUCAAUUUUCUGUUUUCUGUGCGCCGACUUAUAUCGUUCGUUUUGGGGAUAAUCAACUGAUUUGUAAAAAAAAUCGACUUCUGCAGAUCGAGCAGAUAGGGCAAAUUGGUUGCUAAAUUCAUGUCGGUUCUCAAAUCAAAAUUUCUUAGUGCUCUGUCGAUUUUGAAGUCUUUCACGAAGCCCAAAAGCUGAAUUUGCCAUGGACAAGGAGACGUUCAAUAACAUUGGUAGCUACCAUGGAUAAAUGUACCUUAAAGAAAAUAGAAUUGUAAUUUUGAACAAAAUGGCAAAGGUUAGAUGAACCUUGUUGCCAAUCUGCGUCGAUUCUCAACUCAACAUUUUAAAGGUCUUACGAAACCUCAAAGACUCCCCUUGGUCAGCACCUCCUAAUAAAACAUGUUCAUGUUGAAUACUGCGGUCCAACUAACAGAGUGUUAAAUUGUGAGUGAGUCGAGCGGACGAAAAAACCGGCGCCCAGAAAAUAAGCAAGCGAUCGAAAGACGAGUGAGAACGAUGCGCCACAUUACUUAGCAUGCACACACCCACACAAACACGUGUAUGCGCAGAGAUGAGCCAAGGCCAGAGAUAAGCAGUCACCUGUUCGUGUGUGUGUUCGCUGUCAUUUUGCUCAAGCGCUCACGAUUCAAUUUGGUGCUGAUCGCUGAUUGGUCCACACAUUAGCUGCCGGCAGUGAUGUUCUCGCCUGGUCGAUCGGGUGCUCUUCUUUCUGAGCGCCGUUUUUAUGGAUCAGCUCAACUUUAUUCUAUGUUAGUGUGACUCUAUAAGUCGAUAUGGCAUGUUGUUCUGCUGCGGGCGAAGGUCUUUUAAGCCUGUUAUCUUUUUGUUAUACCUUUUUUUGGAUGUGAUGCAUAAGUAAAGGGCAAAUUAUAAGUGCAAAUUCUCAAAAGACGUUCAAUAACAUUGGUAGCUACCAUGGAUAAAUGUACCUUAAAUAAAAUCGAAUUUAAAUUUUGACCAAAAUGGCUAAGGUUCAUGAACCUUGUUGCCAAUCUACGUCGUUUUUCACCUGAACAUUUUAAAGGACUUACGAAUCCUUUAAGCUUAACCUGUCAACGUUUAUGGACAACAUAUAAUCAACAAAUAAGAUCGGCGGAAAUAUGUCUCUUUGGCAUAAUAAAUAUAGUAUUUCAUAUAAAUAUAUAAUAUCAGACGACAUUUACCAGAGAAAAAACGUGCUUUGUGUCGAUUUGGGUCAAAAUGCCAAUUGAUAGUACGGAUCCAAAAAUGAUUCCCCCGGGUCAGCAGCUCCUAAUAAAAUAUAUUCAUAUUGAAUAAUGCAGUCCAACUAACAGAGUGUUAAAUUGCGAGUGAGUCAAGCGGACGAAAAAACCGGCGCCCAGAAAAUAAGCAAGCGAUCGAAAGACGAGUGAGAACGAUGCGCCACAUUACUUAGCAUGCACACACCCACACAAACACGUGUAUGCGCAGAGAUGAGCCAAGGCCAGAGAUAAGCAGCCACCUGUUCGUGUGUGUGUUCGCUGUCAUUUUGCUCACGCGCUCACGAUUCAAUUUGGUGCUGAUCGCUGAUUGGUCCACACAAUAGCUGCCGGCAGCGAUGUUCUCGCCGAGUCGAUUGAGUGCUCUUUUUUCUGAGCGCCGUUUUUAUGGAUCAGCUCAACUUAACAUAUGUUUGGGUGUGUGUUUUCGCAAUUCAUAUCAAUGCUUGCUUGUGCGUUAUCUACCUUUGAACGGCGAUUACUCCAGUUUGUGGAUUACUUGCUCAGUUUUCUGUUCUCCGACUUACGAAUCUUUAAUGCCUAACCGGCCAACGUUCAUGGACAACGUAUAAUCAACAAAUAAUAAGAUCGGUGGAAAUAUAUCUCUUUAAAAUAAUAAACGUAAUAUUUCCGCGCGGAAAUAUGUCGGAUUUGGAACGUCGGAGCUGCGCGAGAUAUGAAAUAAUUAAUUUUAUAUGCUAUAGCCAACUUUGCCACGCUCAUGGACAACAUUUCAUCAGAAAAUGAUCGCUUUUCAUGGUACCUAGUUGACCUGUAUAUCCUUUUUAAUUUCAUAUCAUGGAUAUAGUCCUAGCGAACCUAAAGGACAACGUUCUUGCAAAAUGCGUAGGAACUAGGUCCAAAAUAUGUAUGCUUUUCUUUAACAGCCGUCCCCAGCAACAGUACCGCCCCCUUGAUGGUUUCUAGUUGACUAGCAUAUCCUUGGUAAUACCAUACCAUGGAUAUAGUCCUAGCGAACCUAAAGGAUCAGAUCCCUGCAAAAUGUGCAUUGAAAUGGUCCAAAAACAUGUAUGCUUUUUCUUUCAGGAGCCCUUUUACAUUAGCUGCAGCUGCAGCUGUUGCUUAACAGCCGGCUUACAGCACUCUCGCAGCUUAACAGAGCUCAUUUAAAUUGAGUUACAUUUUUGCCCCUUAAUGCUAUGCAAUGAAAAUUUUUAUUCAAAGAACUCGUCGACCUUCUGGGCAUUUCUGUUCGCCUGGUAUUUUGGCAGAUUUUAAGAAAAGCGGUUGCCAACCAACGCC